rnacentral:lncRNA from 1 species
AUGUUGUCGCUGAUAUGCUGAACAGGGGAACUUAUCGCGAAGCGAUUGGUGUUAUCCUUCCAUUUUAACUGCAGGAGGCGUUCCCGCUCGCGGACAUACUGAUUUACAUCGUUGACAAGGUUGUGUGCAAUAGGAAGAAGCAAGAGAUCGAGGUGGGGUGUGAUUUGGUAGGAUUGGUAUGUUUUGUAGUUUUCUCAUGCAAUCAGUUUAUCAGUACUGAAAAGAGAGUUAACUGAUGUAUGUAGUCAGAAGGAUUUAAUGACAGACCUGGCAAAUUCUUUCCACUAUUGCGUAGAUUCGAUAACCAUUAUAGAUGUCAGAUAUAAUAUUCAACACCUUCAUAUGUUGUGAUAUAUUUCAAUAACUAUUAUAUCAGAUGUUACCUAUAAUCUUCCGCACCUUCUAUAUGUCGUGAUAUACUCAGUAACCUUUGUAUAAUACUCCUUCCGUAAACUAAUAUAAGAGCAUUUAGAACACUACUUUAGUAAUCUAAACGCUCUUAUAUUAGUUUACAGAGGGAAUAUGUUAAAUAUAGUCUUCAGCACCUUUUGUAUAUCACGAUGCAACGAUAUAUUCGAUAACCAUUAUGUAUCCUGUGCUAUAUUUAAUCGUCGCGAUAUAUUCUAGAACCAUUAUAUAUCCUGUGCUAUAUUUAGUAGUGUUGGAUGAACGGCUAGGCAGAGCUUCAGGAUCUGAACAUGCUUGCUGGAGCACUCCUUUAAACUUGCCUUUUACAGUUCUUUUCUCCCUACUAAUCCCUGGGUGCUAGCUUUAUUUUAUUUCUAUACCAGUUAUCUAUCAUAUAUACACAGAACAUCAAGUUAUAGGUUCUAAAUUUUUUUGUAUUAAAUUCUUUCGGGGUUUGAGCCUGCUCCAAAGGAUCUAUCAGUUUUUUCCCGUAAAAAAAAAGUUGGCUUUUGCCGAACACAGUGCAUCUUGUUCUGUUCUGUGCAGCAUGGAGCGCAACCACAGAAUAUGACUAUAGGCCUGCACCAAAUAUAUGAAAUCUACACAUGUAGGAUAUUGCGUUUGUGAUGUUUUAAUGUUAGAUAUCAUAAUGUGCACUACCUUUUGACUAUAGGCUAUUGUUGUAGCUAGACAGAAUGCAGCUGCAAAACAUGUUAAGUUGGAGCUGAGCAUCCUAACUUAACAUAGUACCACAUCUUUCUCGUUUUGAACAGAAUUACAUGUUAAAUAAGAAAUGAUAAUUCAUGUACAUCAGGUAGAGUCCAGCAAAAAUAUAUUUCUGUUGUUAGAUUAUAUCUCACUUGCAGAUUUGGCCAUGUUCCAAUUAGUUCCAGUCGCUUCACUGGACACAAACCAUAUCCUCUAGAUUUAUUUUAACUUUAAUUCCCUCUUCUCUAGGCCUCUAACUAUCAGGGAAUCCACAUUCAUUCUCAUGGGAUGUGCAUUAGUAUGAAGGGCACACACAUACUCCCUCCAUCCGGGAAUAAUUGUCCUAGAAAUGAAUGUAUCUAGACUUAUUUUAGUUAUAGGUACAUCCAUUUUAUUCAUUUCCAGAACAAGUAUAUCCGGACGGAGGGAGUAUAUGCUAAGUUUAGGUAGUUUGUACAACUGCAAAAUAUUUGUAGCCCUUGUGAUAAGACAUCAUAUUUCACAUGCAGGAUUUAGCAGGUAAGUCUGACUUCUCACCUGAAUGCACCUGAAAAUAAACCUUGACUUCUGACUGUUGCAAGAAAGCUACAUUUUAAGUGCGGUACAUAUCAAGCAUAAAAUGAAAGAGAUGACUUAAGAGGAGAAAAAUCACAGUAGGAUUCCUAGAACGGGAAGACCUCAGAUCUUGGAUCUGGCUGCUCUUGGACAGGGAAGACCUUGAAUCUUAGGUUUCUUUUCUCCUGGUCAUGGAAGAUGUCAAAGCUUGGGACUGGUUGCUCGGGUUUGAGAGAUGCAGAUCAACCUUUAUGGCCAGGCUGUGAACCGGCUUCUCCAACGUCUUGAGACCGAGCCAGAUCAGGUUUGAGAGUGGUAGCUAGACCAUCCCAUCAAUCUAUCUUCUGUUGUUGCAGUAAAGACCAAGUCUGUUUAAGGAAUUAUAGGAAGACAUGUUAGUUUUGUCCCUUGUCACUCAUACAUCUUCUGCAUUUUCAUCAUUAUAUUGUAGUUUUACCUGAAGUCAAAGCUUGGUUUACAGGACACUAAGAACCAUUGUAUGUUCUUGCAGAUUGUUGGCUGAGCUUACACCCCUUCAGAAAAUUCGAAAGAAUGAGGUCUUCCACUCAACAUAUACACCCAACUUUUCUUUUUCUUUUUUGCUUUUCAGUUUCUCAUGUUCUACCAUAAAGCACCAAGUGUCCAUAUAUGUAUUGAAUUUUAACUUCACUCUUUUUAUUUGUUAUGAAAUUUUGCUCAUGCCCUUCACCGAACCUUCCUUUUUAGGAAAUUUUGCAAGUGGAGAUUAGAAGGAUUAUUCUAAACUGGUGGAUGAAGCUAUGUGUUCUCUUAGUUUAGUGGACUUUUAUAUGUUUGCAUAGUUUUUGUUCUUCAAAAUGAAGCUUGGAAUAUUUUAGAAUUUUUUAGCGAACUUAAGUUUCAUGUAUGAAGGAUUGUCAUUGGAAAUAGAUACAUUUUUGUUGUAGAAGUUUUAUGUCAGACUUACUAUCUUGUAAACUAAGUUUACGUAUGUUCGAACUUAAACCUGGAUGGCUGAUUCAACAAUUUCUUCUUUGUCGUUGUGAACCAACCUUUGCGUGCGUAAUUCAACAUGUUUUUUUGGUCAUUUUAUAGUUAAUCAAACGGACAAAUAAACACUAGCAUAGAGUAGAGGAUUCGGCCAUCACACACAUCUCAUGCAUCAGAUCAAAUUCACUAGUAACUCACAAGUUCUCUCAUACAAAUUUAACUACUAUCUCAAUUUCCAG